AUUUGAACCCAUAUAUAAGGAAUCACUUCAAUGAACUAUAUUAGUUACUGAUUUGUAAAAGACUUGGACAUUUCACUUUCUUCUAAAUUUGAACAGCCUGUCUUCACAAUGCUCGGUAAACUGUUACUCCUGCUGUUCGCUCUUGUAUGCCUGCUGGUACUGACACAGGCCACGCCCUACUUCUACAGACGAUACCAUUACAGACCUUAUGUACGAUACCAUGGCUAUGGCGGCGGCAACUACUUUUACGACGGCGGAAAUGACGACUUCAACGGCGGAUACUGGGAUUAGAGAAGCAGACGACAUAAAAAGAGCGCGAAAAUAAAACUUAAUUAGAAUUAUCGUUUUAUGUGAACAUUGCUUAUAAAGUAAAAUUAAAAAUAAAUGCUGGCGACACUGACAAAAUACAUUUGAAACUUAUCUCAACUGAUUCAAACAAAGGUCAAAUGUUGAAGAUCUAAAAUUAAGAAACAGUUUGAAUAAAAAGACAGUUCCUGUUCGCGUUAUAUUUCGAUAUUACUACUAUAUAUGUAUCAAGAUGUAAAACAAAAUAAACGAGUUUUAUAUACACA